CCUACGGGAGGCUGCAGUGGGGAAUAUUGGACAAUGGGCGAAAGCCUGAUCCAGCCAUGCCGCGUGUGUGAAGAAGGCCUUCGGGUUGUAAAGCACUUUCAGUGGGGAAGAAAGCCUUGGGGCUAAUACCCUCGAGGAAGGACAUCACCCACAGAAGAAGCACCGGCUAACUCCGUGCCAGCAGCCGCGGUAAUACGGAGGGUGCGAGCGUUAAUCGGAACUACUGGGCGUAAAGCGCGCGUAGGCGGUCUGAUAAGCCGGUUGUGAAAGCCCCGGGCUCAACCUGGGAACGGCAUCCGGAACUGUCAGGCUAGAGUGCAGGAGAGGAAGGUAGAAUUCCCGGUGUAGCAGUGAAAUGCGUAGAGAUCGGGAGGAAUACCAGUGGCGAAGGCGGCCUUCUGGACUGACACUGACGCUGAGGUGCGAAAGCGUGGGUAGCAAACAGGAUUAGAUACCCUAGUAGUC
rnacentral:rRNA from 1 species